UACGUAGGGCGCAAGCGUUGUCCGGAAUCAUUGGGCGUAAAGAGCUCGUAGGCGGCUUGUCACGUCGGGUGUGAAAGCCCGGGGCUUAACCCCGGGUCUGCAUUCGAUACGGGCUGGCUAGAGUGUGGUAGGGGAGAUCGGAAUUCCUGGUGUAGCGGUGAAAUGCGCAGAUAUCAGGAGGAACACCGGUGGCGAAGGCGGCAUCCUGGACCGGCAUUGACGCUGAGGCGCGAAAGCCAGGGGAGCAAACGGG
rnacentral:rRNA from 1 species